rnacentral:rRNA from 1 species
UACAGAGGGUGCGAGCGUUAAUCGGAAUUACUGGGCGUAAAGCGCACGUAGUCGGCUUUGCAAGUCGGGUGUGAAAUCCCCGGGCUCAACCUGGGAACUGCAUCCGAGACUGCAUUGCUAGAGUAUGGGAGAGGGAAGCGGAAUUUCUGGUGUAGCAGUGAAAUGCGUAGAUAUCAGAAGGAACAUCAGUGGCGAAGGCGGCUUCCUGGACCAAUACUCACGAUCAGGUGCGAAAGCGUGGGGAGCAAACAGG